GGCAGUUUGACCUUUCUCUACCUUUUUUUUUUUUAUCAUAACUGGAGAUACAAGUCAAAUUUUGAUGUGAUUGGGUUGAUUUAUAGUCUUGUUGUCUUGGAGCAUAUCUUCUAUUAUGAUAAAUUCAUCCUAAUUUUAACAAACUUGGGUUAAAUAGAACUUGAGUUCUUGAAUUCCAUUCAAUUCCGCUAGGGUUUGCAUCAGGUGGUGUCUUCGCUCGUGCUUCCAUACCAUGGUCCUCUUAGCCUUAAUCUGGUUCGAUCCUGCCCAACUUCUGCUAAGGCAGGUCUGGGUUUGCUGGGCGCCGCUUCCGACUCUGUUGCCCAAGAACAACUAUUGGUUGAGGUCUGCUCUAAUGAUGACUCUAGUGAGAAUGAACGGCUUGAUUUCUCUGGAUCGGAUUAUAGCCUUGACUCCGGUCAUAGCACUCCCCCAGCUUCUAGUAGUGGAAGGCGAUCCCCUGACUCCAACCCAUGUGGGGCUCUGCUUUCUUCAGCUACUCCUUCGAUUGUCACUCCCAUUCACACUGAAGCUGGCUCCACCCCCGUUACUGGAACAAAUGUUUGCAAGGACAGUGGAGCUCCUCCAGUUUCCUCUCCUGGUAUCCCCCCAGGCUCUCAUUUGCUAAAGUGUUGAUUGAGGUAGAUUUGCUAGCUGACCUGCCCAACUCCAUCACCGUUAUCUUGCCCAAUGGAGUCCCUCUCUCGCAGUUUGUUGUUUAUGGGACCCUCCCGAAGUUAUGCCCGCAAUGUCGGCUUAUCGGGCAUACUAUCUCAGCAUGCCCUCAAACUGCUGCUGCUAGGGGGGAGUCUCUCAGACAACUGACUCCCUAGUGAAGAUCAAUAGAAAUCAUGUUCAUCCCUCCAGAUUUGGUUCUCCUGUGGAGAUAUCUGCUGUGGAUGGCCAGUAGGGCAGUAGGGAAAUGGCACAGGGUGAGCAACCUCCAAGUCCCCAAGGUGCUACUGUGGAGGCUGCGGCUAAGGGUAUGGUAGCAAUUGGAGGCAGGAAGAAGGCCAGACUCACCUUAGCUGUUAUGGUCAAAGCUCAAGAUACUGCUCCUCUUGUCCCCUCUACCAUUGUGCAUGUGCUUGAUGAUCCUCUACUACCGGAGGAUAUCACUCCAACAGUGGGGAAAAAACCUGUUACAAUUAGAAGGCAAUACAUGACGCGAAGCAGGAGCCUGCUAGUGCAGGACACCCCUCUGGCUUUGCCUAGUACUUAGAAAGGUAAAGCCCUAAUUACAGAUACUACUGCUGUCUCCCUUAGGAGACCAGGUCGAUCUCGACUGGGUGUGGCCAAUACAAGUACUUCUGAAAGGGAUAGAGCUCCUGGGCUAUCCUCUACUUGAUUUUCCUAUUGGUCUUUCAGAGGACCUCUCUAGUCUUGGAUGGUUCAUGAGGCUGUUGGCCUCAUGGUGAUCUGUUGAUGUUGAGAAUUGGUAGCUUCUGCCUCCUAUAGGUUUUCUGGUAUGCUAGAGUAGAUGUGUGGUUCCCUCUCUGGCUUGUGUUGCUACUUUUUGUAGCUUCGUCUGCUAUGCUCUUUGAAUCUGGAUACUGGAACUUCUAUUGGCUUUUGCUAGUCAGUUAUGUGCUGUUUUGCUACUGUCUGUUGCUGCUUUUACAGGUUCGUUUGCUGCCCUUUCUUCAGCUGCUGCUGGGUUUGCCACUCCCUGGUGUUGGGGUGGCUAUUGUUGCUGCUAUAUGCGGCCUGAUGUGUUGUGCUAUUUGAAGCUAGCUGAAAUUAUAUAAUGUUGUUAUUGUUUGUGGGUUGGUUCUUGCUGCUGGUUUAUUGGUUUGCUGUAGUUGAUGUGGGCUUGUGUUUCUACUCUAUGCAGUUUAGUCGGCUCAGUUUCUUGUAGUUCCUCAUGGCUGAUUAUUUUUUAGCGGAGGAGCCUUGCUGUUGGCUGCGGGUAUGGGUCCAGUUGGGGCCUGUGCUGCAGCGUUGCACUUUGUGCUGCUGUCCGGCAUUGGGUUCUUGUUGUCAUUUUUUACGGUUUUUGCUGCCUUCUGCAGCGCUAUUUAUGUAGCUAUUUGUUAGGCUAUGUUUAAUGUAAUGAUAUUUGCUUAAGGGAGCCUAUUUCCCUGGCCUAUGUAUGUACAUGCGUAUAUAUUCUGACAUGCUGGUUUCUAGCUUAGUUUUGUUUU